AACGAACGCUGGCGGCAUGCCUAACACAUGCCAGUCGAACGAGACCUUCGGGUCUAGUGGCGCACGGGUGCGUAACGCGUGGGAACCUGCCCUUAGGUUCGGAAUAACUCCCCGAAAGGGGUGCUAAUACCGGAUAAUGUCUUCGGACCAAAGAUUUAUCGCCUUUGGAUGGGCCCGCGUUGGAUUAGCUAGUUGGUAGGGUAAAAGCCUACCAAGGCGACGAUCCAUAGCUGGUCUGAGAGGAUGAUCAGCCACACUGGGACUGAGACACGGCCCAGACUCCUACGGGAGGCAGCAGUGGGGAAUAUUGGACAAUGGGCGAAAGCCUGAUCCAGCAAUGCCGCGUGAGUGAUGAAGGCCUUAGGGUUGUAAAGCUCUUUUACCCGGGAUGAUAAUGACAGUACCGGGAGAAUAAGCUCCGGCUAACACCGUG
rnacentral:rRNA from 1 species